AGAGUUUGAUCAUGGCUCAGAUUGAACGCUGGCGGCAGGCUUAACACAUGCAAGUCGAGCGGAGAUGAGGUGCUUGCACCUUAUCUUAGCGGCGGACGGGUGAGUAAUGCUUAGGAAUCUGCCUAUUAGUGGGGGACAACAUUUCGAAAGGAAUGCUAAUACCGCAUACGCCCUACGGGGGAAAGCAGGGGAUCUUCGGACCUUGCGCUAAUAGAUGAGCCUAAGUCGGAUUAGCUAGUUGGUGGGGUAAAGGCCUACCAAGGCGACGAUCUGUAGCGGGUCUGAGAGGAUGAUCCGCCACACUGGGACUGAGACACGGCCCAGACUCCUACGGGAGGCAGCAGUGGGGAAUAUUGGACAAUGGGCGGAAGCCUGAUCCAGCCAUGCCGCGUGUGUGAAGAAGGCCUUUUGGUUGUAAAGCACUUUAAGCGAGGAGGAGGCUACCUGGAUUAAUACUCUGGGAUAGUGGACGUUACUCGCAGAAUAAGCACCGGCUAACUCUGUGCCAGCAGCCGCGGUAAUACAGAGGGUGCGAGCGUUAAUCGGAUUUACUGGGCGUAAAGCGUGCGUAGGCGGCUGAUUAAGUCGGAUGUGAAAUCCCUGAGCUUAACUUAGGAAUUGCAUUCGAUACUGGUCAGCUAGAGUAUGGGAGAGGAUGGUAGAAUUCCAGGUGUAGCGGUGAAAUGCGUAGAGAUCUGGAGGAAUACCGAUGGCGAAGGCAGCCAUCUGGCCUAAUACUGACGCUGAGGUACGAAAGCAUGGGGAGCAAACAGGAUUAGAUACCCUGGUAGUCCAUGCCGUAAACGAUGUCUACUAGCCGUUGGGGCCUUUGAGGCUUUAGUGGCGCAGCUAACGCGAUAAGUAGACCG
rnacentral:rRNA from 1 species